rnacentral:tRNA from 1 species
GCUGAAAUAGCUCAGUUGGUAGAGCAAUCCUCUCGUAAGGGAUAGGUCGUAGGUUCAAGUCCUAUUUUCAGCACCA